CAAGACAACUUUACGGAGUUGACGAUUGACGGAGCGAAGCGACGUCAAAGCGUUCAUUAAAGUCGAGUUGGCUUAGGGAUACGUUCGUUGGGUAGGGGAGCGUUCUGUAAGCCUGUGAAGGUGGCCUGUGAGGGUUGCUGGAGGUAUCAGAAGUGCGAAUGCUGACAUAAGUAACGAUAAAGCGGGUGAAAAGCCCGCUCGCCGGAAGACCAAGGGUUCCUGUCCAACGUUAAUCGGGGCAGGGUGAGUCGACCCCUAAGGCGAGGCCGAAAGGCGUAGUCGAUGGGAAACGGGUUAAUAUUCCCGUACUUGGUGUUACUGCGAAGGGGGGACGGAGAAGGCUAUGUUGGCCGGGCGACGGUUGUCCCGGUUUAAGCGUGUAGGUGUGUGUUCCAGGUAAAUCCGGUU
rnacentral:rRNA from 1 species